ACUUAGAUAGUUUAAAAAAUGCUAAUCUGUGACAUUAGAGAUGGUAAUUAAAAUUUACCUCUAAGUC
rnacentral:tRNA from 1 species